rnacentral:rRNA from 1 species
UACGUAGGGGCUAGCGUUAUCCGGAAUUACUGGGCGUAAAGGGUGCGUAGGCGGUCUUUCAAGCCAGAAGUGAAAGGCUACGGCUCAACCGUAGUAAGCUUUUGGAACUGUAGGACUUGAGUGCAGGAGAGGAGAGUGGAAUUCCUAGUGUAGCGGUGAAAUGCGUAGAUAUUAGGAGGAACACCAGUAGCGAAGGCGGCUCUCUGGACUGUAACUGACGCUGAGGCACGAAAGCGUGGGGAGCAGACAGGAUUAGAUACCCCUGUAGUCCCU